rnacentral:rRNA from 1 species
GGCGCAAGCGUUAUCCGGAAUUAUUUGGCGUAAAGAGCUCGUAGGCGGUUUGUCGCGUCUGCCGUGAAAGUCCGGGGCUCAACUCCGGAUCUGCGGUGGGUACGGGCAGACUAGAGUGAUGUAGGGGAGACUGGAAUUCCUGGUGUAGCGGUGAAAUGCGCAGAUAUCAGGAGGAACACCGAUGGCGAAGGCAGGUCUCUGGGCCGAUAUUGACGCUGAGGAGCGAAAGCGUGGGGAGCGAACAGG